AUUAUGAUAAUGACAUUAGCUNCCAUAAGUCUUGACCAAAUUACGUGCCAGCAGUCGCGGCAAUACGUAGAAGACAAGUGUUAUUCAUCUUUAAUAGGUUUAAAGGGUACUUAGACGGUAAAUAAAGCCUCCAAAAGGGACUAGUUUGCUAGAGUUUUAUGUGAAGGGGUUUUAAAGUACUGCUGGUGUAAAGAUGAAAUUCAGUUAUACCUAUGAUGGCACAGGUUAAGGCGAAAGCAUCCUCUUAUGUAAAAACUGACGUUAAAGGACGAAGGCUUUGUGUCUCGAACAGGAUUAGAUACCCUAGUAGUCUAAGCAGAAAAUGAUGAAUGUCAUAGAUUAGAUUUAAUUUGAUCUAUAAAUGAAAGUGUAAGCAUUCCACCUCAAGAGUAAUUUGGCAACAUUGGAACUGAAAUCAUUAGACCGUUUCUGAAACCAGUAGUGAAGUAUGUUGUUUAAUUUGAUAAUCCGCAAAAAACCUUACCACAACUUGAAUAGAUAUAUUUUAUCAUACAAGCGUUGCACGGCUGUCUUUAGUUAAUGUCGUAAGACUUUGGUUAGUUCCAUUAAAUAAANUAAACCC
rnacentral:rRNA from 1 species